rnacentral:rRNA from 1 species
UGGUGGAGUGAUUUGUCUGGUUAAUUCCGUUAACGAACGAGACCUCGACCUGCUAAAUAGUUUGGCGAAUUCCCUGUGAUUCGCACAUAACUUCUUAGAAGGACUAUCGGUUCGCAGCCGGUGGAAGUUCGAGGCAAUAACA